AGGUAAGCUACUAAGAGCGAAUGGUGGAUGCCUUGACUGGUAAAGGCGAUGAAGGACGUACUAGACUGCGAUAAGCUACGGGGAGCUGUCAAGAAGCUUUGAUCCGUAGAUUUCCGAAUGGGGCAACCCAAUGUAUAGAGAUAUACAUUACCUAUAUAGGAGCGAACGAGGGGAAUUGAAACAUCUUAGUACCCUCAGGAAAAGAAAUCAAUAGAGAUUGCGUCAGUAGCGGCGAGCGAAAGCGCAAGAGGGCAAACCCAGUGCUUGCACUGGGGGUUGUAGGACUGCAAUGUGCAAGAGGUAAGUUUAGCAGAACAUUCUGGAAAGUAUAACCAUAGAGGGUGAUAGUCCCGUAUGCGAAAAACAAACCUUAGCUAGCAGUAUCCUGAGUAGGGCGGGACACGAGGAAUCCUGUCUGAAUCCGGGUCGACCACGAUCCAACCCUAAAUACUAAUACCAGAUCGAUAGUGCACAAGUACCGUGAGGGAAAGGUGAAAAGAACUGAGGUGAUCAGAGUGAAAUAGAACCUGAAACCAUUUGCUUACAAUCAUUCAGAGCCCUAUGUAGCAAUACAGGGUGAUGGACUGCCUUUUGCAUAAUGAGCCUGCGAGUUGUGGUGUCUGGCAAGGUUAAGCAAACGCGAAGCCGUAGCGAAAGCGAGUCUGAAUAGGGCGCUUAGUCAGAUGCUGCAGACCCGAAACGAAGUGAUCUAUCCAUGAGCAAGUUGAAGCUAGUGUAAGAACUAGUGGAGGACUGAACCCAUAGGCGUUGAAAAGCCCCGGGAUGACUUGUGGAUAGGGGUGAAAGGCCAAUCAAACUUCGUGAUAGCUGGUUCUCUCCGAAAUAUAUUUAGGUAUAGCGUUGUGUCGUAAUAUAAGGGGGUAGAGCACUGAAUGGGCUAGGGCAUACACCAAUGUACCAAACCCUAUCAAACUCCGAAUACCUUAUAUGUAAUCACAGCAGUCAGGCGGCGAGUGAUAAAAUCCGUCGUCAAGAGGGAAACAACCCAGACUACCAGCUAAGGUCCCUAAGUCUUACUUAAGUGGAAAACGAUGUGAAGUUACUUAAACAACCAGGAGGUUGGCUUAGAAGCAGCCAUCCUUUAAAGAAAGCGUAAUAGCUCACUGGUCUAGUGAUUUUGCGCGGAAAAUAUAACGGGGCUAAAGUAAGUACCGAAGCUGUAGACUUAGUUUACUAAGUGGUAGGAGAGCGUUCUAUUUGCGUCGAAGGUAUACCGGUAAGGAGUGCUGGAGCGAAUAGAAGUGAGCAUGCAGGCAUGAGUAGCGAUAAUUAAUGUGAGAAUCAUUAACGCCGUAAACCCAAGGUUUCCUACGCGAUGCUCGUCAUCGUAGGGUUAGUCGGGUCCUAAGUCGAGUCCGAAAGGGGUAGACGAUGGCAAAUUGGUUAAUAUUCCAAUACCAA
rnacentral:rRNA from 1 species